rnacentral:lncRNA from 1 species
UCUUCAUCUCCCCCGAACUUCCAAUGAGCUGACUCUGUGACAUUGUCGAAGUCGCAAGUGAAAGAAUGAACCCACAAGUAUUGAAAAGUAAUAGAGAAAAGAGAAUGAUAUGGAGAGAGUUGAAGUGGAAGCUCUCUUUAUAACAUUUCCAAGAGCACGUAUUUCCCCCGGAAAAUAUACUCCCUUUAAUACCAAAUAUUCCGUCAAUCACAAUAAGAGGAUCCCAAAUAAUCCCAAAUAAUAUCAAAUAGGAAAGUUUCACGAACUGUAUCAG